UGGCUUAGAAUCAGCUUCUGAGAGAAUCUGACCCAGAAAGUAUCCUUGACUACAGGAGUCCAGACUAAUAUGGAGUCGGAGUUGGAAAAGGAGGCUAAGGAAAAUCAACAUGCUGUUACCAGAUGGGAAAUCAAAGCUGGUAGAUGAAAACAAUAGUAUGAGAGCUGAAUCACUUUAAAGAGAAGGACCAGAUUCUCAUGGACCCUACUGCCAUGCUGGACAGACAGCUUGCUGCCAUUGUUUUCUUGUUAUUUACUCCCAAACAGGUCAAUCUGUUACUGGAAAUUACCUUCAGCUCUCUUUGAAAAUGGCUUCAUUGUCUUCAUUUGUAAAAGACACUAUGAGCAUCUAUUUGUGAGACAGACAACCGAUGCAUACUUACUGGUAAAACUGUGA
rnacentral:lncRNA from 1 species